GGGAAGGUGGCUUAGCGGGUAAGAGUGCUUGCUUUGCAAGCAUGAAGACCAGAGUUCAAAUCCCUAACUCCA
rnacentral:tRNA from 1 species